UCACCCUCCACUCCUUGAAGUCUAGCCAUGUGGGUGGGAGGCUGGAGCAGCCAGUGAGGACACUCAGCGCAAUGUGAGCAACCGGACAAGAUGGAUUUGAAUUUAUAAAGAACCUGCCUUCCUUCCUUCAUGUUCCAAGCAAAUGUUCCAGGUAUUUAAGCCACACGCUGGGGAGGAUUAUAAAUAUCCAAGGGAAACAGAGACCAUCUGGAGUCAUCCCUACAUUGUGGAGGGGUACCCCAAGAACCCUUUGGAGAGGAGAAAGAGAAAGCACAGGCUCUACUCCCUGCCAGCUGAGAUCCCCACCAAUACGAGCAGUUCUCCAAGAACAAGCAUGAAACCCUCCAGAAAAACCCACCAUUGUCCCACUUCAUCUCCUCAGGCUACAAAACAAUGGCACAGGCGCUUUGAGACAGGGCCUUUUUUGAUUAGUCCUUUAAGGGAAAACCUUUCCUCAGCAGGAAAUGGCGUUCCAGAGGCUGCUGGACAGAAACAUAGAAACAACUAUAAUCCUACUGCCCCUGAGUAAGCCACGCAGUCCCUCAACACAGUAUGUUCCUCAGUUUCUCAUGCCCCCAUCUCUGAGGCCACUCCAGGAUACCCCACCAAGAGCCUGCGGGAACACCUCUCAGGGCCCCUUUCCAGCCCAUUCCAGAUCUCAUCCUGGGCUUUGGGAGCCUUCAGCUGUUUCCAAGAGUUAACUAAACAUCAAUUUAAUUACACUGCUGGG